CCUACGGGAGGCAGCAGUGGGGAAUAUUGCACAAUGGGGGAAACCCUGAUGCAGCGACGCCGCGUGAAGGAAGAAGUAUUUCGGUAUGUAAACUUCUAUCAGCAGGGAAGAAAAUGACGGUACCUGACUAAGAAGCCCCGGCUAACUACGUGCCAGCAGCCGCGGUAAUACGUAGGGGGCAAGCGUUAUCCGGAUUUACUGGGUGUAAAGGGAGCGUAGACGGAAGUGCAAGUCUGAAGUGAAAGCCCGGGGCUCAACCCCGUGACUGCUUUGGAAACUGUGCUUCUAGAGUGUCGGAGAGGUAAGCGGAAUUCCUAGUGUAGCGGUGAAAUGCGUAGAUAUUAGGAGGAACAUCAGUGGCGAAGGCGGCUUACUGGACGAUAACUGACGUUGAGGCUCGAAAGCGUGGGGAGCAAACAGGAUU
rnacentral:rRNA from 1 species